UAGUCCACGCCCUAAACGAUGAGAACUAGCCGUUGGGAGCAUUUAAGCUCUUAGUGGCGCAGCUAACGCGUUAAGUUCUCCGCCUGGGGAGUACGGCCGCAAGGUUAAAACUCAAAGGAAUUGACGGGGCCCGCACAAGCGGUGGAGCAUGUGGUUUAAUUCGAUGCAACGCGAAGAACCUUACCUACCCUUGACAUUGACAGAAUCCUGGAGAGAUCCGGGAGUGCCUUCGGGCCUGGAAAACAGGUGCUGCAUGGCUGUCGUCAGCUCGUGUCGUGAGAUGUUGGGUUAAGUCCCGUAACGAGCGCAACCCUUAUCCUUAGUUGCCAGCACAUAAUGGUGGGAACUCUAGGGAGACUGCCGGUGACAAACCGGAGGAAGGUGGGGAUGACGUCAAGUCAUCAUGGCCCCUUAGGGGUAGGGGCUACACACGUGCUACAAUGGGACAGUACAGACGGUCGCGAACCCGCGAGGGGAAGCCAAUCUGACAAAGCUAGUUCGUAGUCCGGGAUCGGGAGUCUGCAA
rnacentral:rRNA from 1 species